rnacentral:rRNA from 1 species
UAUGAAUAAGGAUCGGCUAACUCCGUGCCAGCAGCCGCGGUAAUACGGAGGAUCCGAGCGUUAUCCGGAUUUAUUGGGUUUAAAGGGAGCGUAGGUGGAUUGUUAAGUCAGUUGUGAAAGUUUGCGGCUCAACCGUAAAAUUGCAGUUGAAACUGGGAGUCUUGAGUACAGUAGAGGUGGGCGGAAUUCGUGGUGUAGCGGUGAAAUGCUUAGAUAUCACGAAGAACUCCGAUUGCGAAGGCAGCUCACUAGACUGUCACUGACACUGAUGCUCGAAAGUGUGGGUAUCAAACAGGAUUAGAUACCCUGGUAGUCCACACAGUAAACGAUGAAUACUCGCUGUUUGCGAUAUACAGUAAGCGGCCAAGCGAAAGCAUUAAGUAUUCCACCUGGGGAGUACGCCGGCAACGGUGAAACUCAAAGGAAUUGACGGGGGCCCGCACAAGCGGAGGAACAUGUGGUUUAAUUCGAUGAUACGCGAGGAACCUUACCCGGGCUUAAAUUGCAACAGAAUAUAUUGGAAACAGUAUAGCCGUAAGGCUGUUGUGAAGGUGCUGCAUGGUUGUCGUCAGCUCGUGCCGUGAGGUGUCGGCUUAAGUGCCAUAACGAGCGCAACCCUUAUCUUUAGUUACUAACAGGUCAUGCUGAGGACUCUAGAGAGACUGCCGUCGUAAGAUGUGAGGAAGGUGGGGAUGACGUCAAAUCAGCACGGCCCUUACGUCCGGGGCUACACACGUGUUACAAUGGGGGGUACAGAAGGCGGCUACCUGGUGACAGGAUGCUAAUCCCAAAAACCUCUCUCAGUUCGGAUCGAAGUCUGCAACCCGACUUCGUGAAGCUGGAUUCGCUAGUAAUCGCGCAUCAGCCAUGGCGCGGUGAAUACGUUCCCGGGCCUUGUACACACCGCCCGUCAAGCCAUGAAAGCCGGGGGUACCUGAAGUACGUAACCGCAAGGAGCGUCCUAGGGUAAAACUGGUAAUUGGGGCUAAGUCGUAACAAGGUAGCCGUACCGGAAGG